AAGAGGAGAGUGCUGUGAGAGCUGAGGGACAGAGAACUGCUGAGCUGCGCUGGAGUUUGAAAGUCUUUGCGGAGAGACUUAAAAAGGCAACGGUGAUAUAAAUACCUGCUUUUAACUGGAUUAAAGCAGUUCCUUCCCUUAGAAAGUCACAGAGACUGUGCUAUGGAGAAGAGAAACCAUGCAAGCGCCAACACCGCAUGACAGGAGGCUGGUGGGAUCAUAGCUGUGAACUCAGAUCCUCAGACAAGCAAGACCACCAUCACAGGACAUAGAGUGGUGCGCUGAGACAGGAGCCGAAGUACAUCGGGUACGGCUUUGGAUAUCUUCCCUCCUGCUUUGACUGUAGCUCCGGCCAGGACAGCAUUAAAAAUACAUUUCCCAAAGGACGACU